UACAGAGGGUGCAAGCGUUGUUCGGAAUUAUUGGGCGUAAGGCGCGUGUAGGCGGCUUUGCAAGUCGGGUGUGAAAGCCCUCAGCUCAACUGAGGAAGUGCGCCCGAAACUGCAGAGCUUGAGUACCGGAGAGGAUGGCGGAAUUCCCCAAGUAGAGGUGAAAUUCGUAGAUAUGGGGAGGAACACCGGUGGCGAAGGCGGCCAUCUGGACGGAUACUGACGCUGAGACGCGAAAGCGUGGGGAGCAAACAGG
rnacentral:rRNA from 1 species